rfam:Omnitrophica WOR_2 bacterium GWF2_43_52 gwf2_scaffold_368, whole genome shotgun sequence.
GCUGGCGUAGCUCAGUUGGUAGAGCUCCUCACUUGUAAUGAGGGGGUCGCCCGUUCAAUUCGGGUCGCCAGCU